UGCAAAAGGAUGAGCUAGUCUGGUCUGAACUAAAUGUGGAAAACACAUUAUGGUCUUCAAAGUUCUCUGAUUGCU